rnacentral:rRNA from 1 species
GUGCCAGCAGCUGCGGUAAUACGGAGGGGGCUAGCGUUGUUCGGAAUUACUGGGCGUAAAGCGCACGUAGGCGGUUGCUCAAGUCAGAGGUGAAAGCCCGGAGCUCAACUUCGGAAUUGCCUUUGAAACUAGGUAACUUGAACGUCGGAGAGGUGAGUGGAAUUCCGAGUGUAGAGGUGAAAUUCGUAGAUAUUCGGAAGAACACCAGUGGCGAAGGCGGCUCACUGGACGACUGUUGACGCUGAGGUGCGAAAGCGUGGGAGCGAAACAGGAUUAGAUACCCUGGUAGUCCACGCCGUAAACGAUGAUAACUAGCUGUCUGGGUGCUUGACACGUUAGGUGCGCAGCUAACGCAUUAAG